CCAUGAGUAAAGUGGCGACCGGGUGAGUAACACGUGACUAACCACCUUUUAGUGGGGGAUAACCUCGGGAAACCGAGGCUAAUACCGCAUAACAUCGCAAGAUCAAAGCAGCAAUGCGCUGGAAGAGGGGGUCGCGGCUGAUUAGCUAGUUGGCGGGGUAACGGCCCACCAAGGCGAAGAUCGGUAUCCGGCCUGAGAGGGCGCACGGACACACUGGAACUGAAACACGGUCCAG
rnacentral:rRNA from 1 species